rnacentral:rRNA from 1 species
GACGAACGCUGGCGGCGUGCCUAAUACAUGCAAGUCGAACGCAGUGGGGACGGGUGAGUAACACGUGGGUAACCUCCCAUCAGAGGGGAUAACCCUUGGAAACUGGUGCUAAACCGAUACUGAUGGAUGGACCCGCGGGGCAUUAGCUAGUUGGUGAGGUAACGGCUCACCAAGUCCACGAUGCAUAGCCGACCUGAGAGGAUGAUCAGCCACACUGGGACUGAGACACGGCCCAGACUCCUACGGGAGGCAGCAGUAGGGAAUCUUCGGCAAUGGACGAAAGUCUGACAGAGCAACGCCGCGUGAGUGAAGAAGGUUUUCGGGUCGUAAAGCUCUGUUGUUAGAGAAGCGGUAUCUAACCAGAAAGCAACGGCUAACUCCGUGCCAGCAGCCGCGGUAAUUC